UAACACGAACCGUGCGAACGUUAUUCGGAAUCACUGGGCUUAAAGGGUGCGUAGGCGGCUUUGCAAGUGAGGUGUGAAAUCCCUCAGCUCAACUGAGGAACUGCGCUUCAAACUGCAUAGCUAGAGGGAGACAGAGGUAAGCGGAACUGAUGGUGGAGCGGUGAAAUGCGUUGAUAUCAUCAGGAACACCAGUGGCGAAGGCGGCUUACUGGGUCUCUUCUGACGCUGAGGCACGAAAGCUAGGGUAGCGAACGGGAUUAGAUACCCCGGUAGUCCUAGCUGUAAACGAUGGGUACUGGAUCGAGGAACCUUCCACAGUUUCUCGGUCGUAGCGAAAGUGUUAAGUACUCCGCCUGGGGAGUAUGGUCGCAAGGCUG
rnacentral:rRNA from 1 species